rnacentral:lncRNA from 1 species
CUGGCCCCACCAAAAACACCUCCUUAGGUGUUCUUAGUGAGACCCGUGUGGAAAGGGAGGAAUAGCCUUCACUAGCAUUCUUUUCCUUAUCACACCUCCGCACCCAAGUGCAAGCAACCAGCCACAACCACCGACCACCCAAGCAGCCAAGAGCCAACAAACCCGCUGAACUCGCCGCAACCAUCAAGAGCCAACAGAGCCACCUACCACAGAUACUUUCUCUCUCCUCCAACCACAACCCAGAUAUUCGCCAGAUCUACCAAAGCCGCUACAUCAUUGUUCCCAAUCAACCAUAACCCAGUUGAAAUUCAAAGAAAAAACACCACACACAAACCCACUGCAUCAUCAAUGUGCCCUUCUUCCUCAACUCCGUUUCUCUACUUCUCUUUGCAAAUCCAAAAAACAAAUUGCAAAACAAAAAAAGAAACAUAAAUGAUUUCAAAAAUAGAACUAAUAAACAAAGAGAAAAUUAGACAUAAGAAGAGGAGAAGAGAGACAAUGGAGAAGAAUAAGAUGAAAGAGAGGGGGGAGCUAAAGGCAGGGGAGGAGAAAGAAACUGAACAGAGAGGGAGUUUCAUUUUUCGUUGUGAGGAAGAAGAAGAAAAGUAAAAAAAUUAUAUUUAAAAAACUUACUUUUCAAAAAAAUAUUAUUAAAAAAUUUAGUCACAAUCCAAUCAAAUCUACACCAAACGUAGUACAAGUGUUAUCCAACUUAUGCCAGGCCAAGCCAAUCCAAGACAGUCCCAGAAUUUAGUCCAAUCCAUGACAAUCCGCCUUACCAAACGAACCCUUAAGGUUUCAAAAAUUACAAGAACACUUUUGAGGUUUCAAAUUCUUU